CCACCAUUUCUUCAUUGGAUAAUUCUAUGGGUACAGGAAAGUUGGAUAGAAUACUUACAGGAUUUCAAAUUUGCACCUGCACACAUAUCCCACAUAUAAUACGUCUUUUUAUUUCCUUCGAUUUUCAGCCCAAAAUCGGACCGGCCAUUUGCCACCAUAAAAUGAACCCGUAUCGUUUUCCCCCCAAAUCAUUUCCUUUUAUCCCUCAAAACCAGAAAGCAAGACGCUCUUCCCGUCGCUCUUCCCGCAUCUCUUCAUCUUUGAAUUUCUAGGCCCACGACAGGGAAAUCAAGCACGGGCUCAUCUAUUCUAGAACAUCCUUCUACCCAAGAACGACGAAGGCAACUGAAACCGAAGGUGGAAAUAGAUGAUGGACAAAGGUAUUUGCUUCUUUGUCUUAAAUGUGUUAGCUCGUACAUUGGUUGACCAAUUAUUAGAUUAUGAGCAAUAGCAUUUUCCUUCUUGGAUAGAGCCUUCAUUUCUUGCUUGUGUGCCCUUUUUUUAACACUAGAGGAGUAUAUGAUCUGCAAGGGUAGUGAAAGGGGAUCUUAGAAUUAGUUUGGUAUUAGCUAGCAUGUGGCUCCCUGAACAUUGGAUUAAUUAUGGACUCAGUAAUUAUGUAUUCUGUUUACGAGCAACAAAUGUUACUGCAGUAUCAAAAUCUGGAAGAAACCAAGAUUACAGUACAUCCGGACCCAAGUGGUGAAAAGUUAUUAAUGAUAUUUUGUCCGUCUAUACCUGUUAUACACUAGCACAUAGAUUUUCUUCUUGAUAGUCUGACUUUCUUCUUGGAUCUAGAUUACUUAAAUACUGUCCUCAUUCGUAUGUUCAAUUAUCAUUUGGAUGAGUGCGUUGACUUUCUUCUUGGAUCCAGAUUACUUAAAUACUGUCCUCAUUCGUAUGUUCAAUUAUCAUUUGGAUGAGUGCAUUUUUGGCAUUGUGGAUAUGCUUUACUCAGAGUUGAAAUGAUUAUGUGAACAUAACAGUGAUUGGAGGAGUUAUUUUAUGAAUUUGGCUGAGCUAUUUUGGCUGAGCUAUUAUUUAUUUAUUUAUUUUUUGGCUGAGCUAUGUUCAAUUAUCAUUUGGUUGAGCUAUUUUUUUUUUUUUGGUGCUGAGCUAUGUUCAAUUAUCAUUUGGCUAAGCUAUUUUUUUUUGGUGCCAUUAAAUUUUUCUCGUCGCAAGCAUGUUAAUACUGUUAUUGGUAAAGUUGUGAUUUUAGUUACAUGUGAUUUACAACUUCUAAUAAAAUCACAGCAUUUAUUGCAGGAAAAGAGAUUAUAGAAGAUGAGAAUCCUGAUGUCGUUGUAGAAAGUGAUGAUGAGAACAUGGCCGCAAAUUUGAACACAUUGGACAAAAUUAGAAGGAGAUGUUGUGACUAAGCUUGAGGUCGGUAUGAUGUUUAAUAGUGAAGAAGAAAUCUUGGACUUCUAUAAACGAUAUACUUACGGGAUAGGUUUUCUAGUGAGGAAACAAAAUUCGAAAAAGGGGGAAGAUGGAGUUAUGAGAUACGUGACGUUUACAUGUAGUCAUGAUGGUCAAAGAAUUUACGCAACAGGAGGUUCUCUAAAGCCGCAACCAACAAAUCAGACAAGAAUAUCUACAUCAUUAGAUAGUCUUGGAAUUUGGAGAAUUAACAAAGUGUUCCUCUAGCAUAAUCAUAGGACAAGUCCUUCUAAGUCAAGAUUGUAUCGAUGCAAUCAAAAGUUGACUGCAGGUGCGAAGUGAAAUCUCAAGUUAAAUGAUAUGGCAGGAAUGCCCUUGCACAAGAGUUUUAACUCAGCAGUUGUGGCAGCAGGUGGAUAUGAGAACAUAACGUUCAUGGAAAAGGACUGUUGGAACUACAUAGAUCAGGUGAGAUGACUACGACUCGGUGAAGGAAAUGUGAUCGCAAUCAAGGGUACUUUUCAAAGAUGCAAGCACGUUGCUCAGGAUUUUAUUUCAGAAUGGACUUACACGAUGAGUCACGACUAAGGAAUGUACUUUGGGCAGAUAAUAGAUAUAAUCAGUCUCACAAAGAGUUCAGUGACGUGGUCACUUUUGAUACUAUGUAUCUUACUAAUAAAUAUGAUAUGCCCUUCAUCCCUUUUGUUGGCGUAAAUCAUCACGGACAAUUGACUCUGCUUGGUUGUGGACUAUUAUCGAAUGAAGACACAUGUAGUUUUAUGUGGUUGUUCAAGAUAUGGCUAGAGUGCAUGCAUGGUGAAGCCCCUAGUGGAAUAAUUACUGAUCAAGAUCGAGCAAUCAAAAUGCAAUUGAGUUUGUAUUUCCAAAUACGAGGCAUAGAUGGUGUUUGUGGCAUAUUUUGAAGAAGCUGCCAGAAAAGUUUGGGUUUCAUGCACAUAAGGGCGCCAUAUUUUCUGCUAUACACGAGCUAGUAUAUGAAUCACAGUUCGUUGAAGAAUUUGAGCACGAUUGGAGGAUGAUGCUCGAUAUUUAUGACUUGAAAUAGAAUGAUUGGUUGUCGGGCCUGUACGGUAACAGAAGUCGUUGGGCUCCUUGUUUUUUGAAGACCACUUUUUGGGUAAGGAUGUCCACAACACAACGAAGUGAGAGUAUGAAUGCAUUUUUUUUUAUAGAUAUGUGCAUUCGAAAACUUCGUUGAAGCAGUUCGUUGAACAGUAUGAAAGAGCACUGAGGAAUAAGGUUUAGAAAGAGUUUCAGGCUGAUUUCAAGUCAUUUUCUCAAAUGGUACAUGUGCAACUACUUUUGAAAUAGAGAAACAGUUUCAAUCAGUUUACACAAUUUCGAAGUUCAAGGAAGUACAAAAUGAGUUCACUGGGAAGGUAUACUAUGAUCUAAUUUUUGAGGAGGAAUGUUUUUGGAUGAAUUAUGAGGUUCAUGAGCAUCAGAAGAACAUAACAUUUUGCAUCUCAUUUCGGAGAGAUCCUUGCGAAUUCACUUGUAGUUGCCACUUAUUCGAGUUUUGAGGAAUCAUUUGUCGGCAUGCGAUCACAGUUUUGGUCCGCAAUCGCAUCACUGCAAUGCCUGAUAGGUAUAUACUACGAAGAUGAUGGAGAGAUGUCAAAAGAGCAAACACAAUGGUCAAAGUCAAUUAUGCUGGGUUAGGAAGUACUCCGGGACAGGUACGAUAUGACAAUAUGUGCGAGGCUUUCUCAGAGGUAGCAUACCUCACUGUAGAUGAUGAAGAGUGGUCACGUGCUAUGACGAAAUGGAUAAAACUGCAACCAGAACACAUGCAGACGUCAAAGUCGAGCAGCGGAAGCAAAGCCAUUUCGCAGCAUGUUAUUCGUUCAGCCAGCCUCUGAUUGUAAUAAGUCACAAAAUUCUGCAAGCAUGAGCAUAUUGGAUCCUAAUCAUCCAAAAGAAAGGGCGCACCGAGGAAACUUCGACGGAGAGGCUGCUUGGAGUCCACCUAAUACAAAUCGAAGGUAUUGUGGUCCAUUUCCCUUCUAAUUGAUUAUGCAUUUGAGUUAAAAUUCUAAUUCGAGGUGAUAAAACAUGCAGUCCACAUCAACAAAGAGGCCUAGUAUUAUGGAGGAGAAUGUAAGUGAUUCAUAUUCAUCUCGAGUACCGCAACGUUCUAUGCCGCCGGAAAUAUCAUAUUCGGAACUCCUAUUGGUGAGUAUUGGUAGGUCUGAUUAACAUGAAUUUGACUCUUUUUUUUUUUUUUUUUUUGGAAUAUCAAGUGGGUACAACAAAUCCUUUUAUCUUUCUAGUGUUCUUAUCUUGCCAUGCUAAAAUGGGUGAC
rnacentral:lncRNA from 1 species